rnacentral:tRNA from 1 species
UGGUAAUUAGUUUAACAAAAACAAAUGAUUUCGACUCAUUAGAUUAUGAUUAUUUCCAUAAUUACCAA